GAUGAACGCUGGCGGCGUGCUUAACACAUGCAAGUCGAGCGAAGCACUUUGCUUUGAUUUCUUCGGGAUGAAGAGCUUAGUGACUGAGCGGCGGACGGGUGAGUAACGCGUGGGUAACCUGCCUCAUACAGGGGGAUAACAGUUAGAAAUGACUGCUAAUACCGCAUAAGGCCACAGCACCGCAUGGUGCAGGGGUAAAAACUCCAGUGGUAUGAGAUGGACCCGCGUCUGAUUAGGUAGUUGGCGGGGUAACGGCCCACCAAGCCGACGAUCAGUAGCCGACCUGAGAGGGUGACCGGCCACAUUGGGACUGAGACACGGCCCAAACUCCUACGGGAGGCAGCAGUGGGGAAUAUUGCACAAUGGGGGAAACCCUGAUGCAGCGACGCCGCGUGAGCGAAGAAGUAUUUCGGUAUGUAAAGCUCUAUCAGCAGGGAAGAAAAUGACGGUACCUGACUAAGAAGCCCCGGCCAACUACGUGCCAGCCGCCGCGGUAA
rnacentral:rRNA from 1 species